CCUACGGGGGGCUGCAGUGAGGAAUAUUGGUCAAUGGGCGCGAGCCUGAACCAGCCAAGUAGCGUGAAGGAUGACUGCCCUACGGGUUGUAAACUUCUUUUAUAAAGGAAUAAAGUGAGGCACGUGUGCCUUUUUGUAUGUACUUUAUGAAUAAGGAUCGGCUAACUCCGUGCCAGCAGCCGCGGUAAUACGGAGGAACCGAGCGUUAUGCGGGUUUAUUGGGUGUAAAGGGAGCGUAGAUGGGUUGUUAAGUCAGUUGUGAAAGUUUGCGGCUCAACCGUAAAAUUACAAUUGAUACUGGCAGCCUUGAGUACAGUGGAGGUAGGCGGAAUUCGUUGUGUAGCGGUGAAAUGCUUAGAUAUCACGAAGAACUCCGAUUGCGAAGGCAGCUUACUAAACUGCCACUGACAUUGAUGCUCGAAAGUGUGGGUAUCAAACAGGAUUAGAUACCCCUUGUAGUC
rnacentral:rRNA from 1 species